GGAAGGGGGGGGGGGUCAUAGGAUAGCACAAGGGUUAACCUGACCAUGUUAAAUCCUGAUAGGGCUUGAACCAGCAACCCUCCAGCUGAAGACCAUGUAAUACUACGGUCACAUCUCCCAAAAUGCCACAGCGAGCCGACCUAAAUGCAAGUUUUUCAGCAAAAUUGGCAGGUGGCCGCGCAGCAGCGUUUGUAAUCGGGAGGGGGCAGUCGCGUUUUGACAUGCUGCGCAGAAGCCACCGAAGUUUUGAGAAAAACUUCAAAUCGAACGGCGACCUGACAAUUUUUUUGACAUUGGUCAGUGGUCGCUCGCUCACAUUUGGAGGUCACGCAGUGGCAGUACACUGACAGGAAAGCAGUAGCCCCACAAUUGACUGAUAGGAGGGUCUCCAAGGUCCCCAAAAUCGUUCGAUGAUGGGCCGAUUUCAGACUGCCGCCCUCCAGCCAUCCCCUUGCCAUCGUCCCACAGCCACCGUCUGAUUGUUAGAAAUCCUACGGUCGCACUGCGGGUACUCGAGAGCUAUUGACACGGGCCGGGGCCCAGCGAUGACCGGACAUCGAUCUGGUGAUCCCGGCCACCUGUGGGUCUAAAGGGGGAGACGGCACUGAGACCUGCGUCUUGAGGUAAUGCAGUUGAUGCUGAGAAAAAAAUUGUGCUUUCUAGGAGGCAUCUUACAUGAAAAUUAUUUCAUUUGUAAAUUAACAAGAUUCUAAUGCGCGCUCUAAAGCCGAGUUGAGAAUGACCAGUGAUGCAGAACGGGCCACUUUUAUAUACCCCCGGGCUACUGGCGGCCAGUGGCAUUUGAUAUGGACAUCUGCUGUCUGGACACAGUAACACAUCGUCCAAUCAGAGCUGCCGCCUGCCGGCAAUCCAGCUGCCACCGCCCUGUGGUCGCCCAGCUGUUUCCCGUUUUCGUAAAGGCGCCUGCCUGAGCGACAGAAGUCUGACUGCCACCGUCAUCAUUCAUGGCCAUGCCCCCAAUUUUCAAAAAUCGGUUGGCGGCAUGAAAUCUUGAAGAUUCUGCCGAUGCCUCCUCGUUUUAUAUGCGAUCGUUGCAUGAUGGUUGAACCAGCACUGGAUGCUGCCCAAAACUAUAAUGUUGCUGCUCAGAUCAAGUGCUCUUCCUGUGAAGGAAGGAAGGACAAACACACUUGUUUUCGAAGGUCUCCAUUGCAACCGUCUGUAAGAAUUCCACCAAACAAACAUGAGGUUCAAGGUAUAGAAUUUCUGAAACAGAGAAGAAAUGUUAGAGAAUCAACCAAACAGCAUUUCAGUAAAAUCAGGAAUCUGUAGAGGGAGCCAGAGAUUAAUAUUCAUGAUGGGCAAAUAGAGAAAAUGGACUAACCCGGUUUUUCCUGUUCUUCAAAAUCACAUCUGUUGAGUCAAACGUCUUGAUUCUUAUAUUAAUAUUCAAACGAAGGUGUGGGAGUGGGCGGCUGAAGAUGACUGCAUCAAAAGGGACAGCAUUAAAAAACCUCUGUAACACUAAAAGUCUGGAACACACCCCUCAUUUCAUACUCAGCGCUGAUGCUGUUUUGCUUUCUGCAGACAUCCAAAGAAUGUGUCUUUUCUGUUCUGAGCCUUUCCCUUCUUUGUCUGAGAAAAGGGUUCAGUAAAAGCCCCGCUGUAGUGUCAUUAGUCGUUUCCACAGCAGUGGGAUGGAAAUGAAUGCAUGAAAAUGAAACCCGUGCUUCCUCCACAUCAUUGCCCUGCUUUUUCAGGUAAUUUCUGAACAAAGUGAGAUUACAAGCAGAGUGUGUUCCAGCCCCAGCCUGCUUGUCAAACAUCCCUCAAGCAGAAAUCAAUAGGUCAUCAUCUCUACAUAUUACUACAUAUCAGGAGGGGCCCAGAGGAGGAGGAAGUGCAGGCCAGGAAUCUAACUACAAGGCUGGUAUGGGAUCAGAUCUUCUUCUUGUUUGUGUUUUUAAAUUUCAUAGAAGGUCUGUUUUUGUAACCUGCUGUGAUCCGUCUAAGUAUUUCAUCUGAUGUGGCUUUAAGACUCCAUAAAACAGAGAAGCUUUAUUCCCCUCUUGGGUCAAACAGCCCGGCAGCUAAAUUAAAAAUAUUUUCCUCCAAAACAUCGCUGCAGCAUCUCCCCGAGUGUUAAGAGUGCAUCAUGGAACACAUCAACCAUUGGCUAUUGUUUAAAAGUGCAUGAUAAUAACAGCAAUCAGUAAAAUGUCAAGGCCUCUGUGCUUAAACUCAACACACAGCCGCGCUCUUAACUGAAAUCCACUUAAAAUGUGCCGCUGAGUCGGAGUCAAUCAUUAAACAGCUCACUUUGAGAGUCUGAGCAGCGAUAGAUAUCGAUUGUCAUUUUUACAGGUCAUUUCCUCUGAAGAUGAUUAAUAUGUCUGUUUCUCAAUCACUGGAGCGUCCACAGACUGACAUCAGACACUCGGGAAGGCUCAGCCGAACAGGAGAGACCUGUGGGAAAUUUCUAGGGCUCUGGAUUUUGGAAUUGUAGAUUCAGACACAAUAGAAAAAGGAGAACACGCUAUAUAGUGAGCAGGGAUGGAAUUCGGACGUUACUCCCACUCGAUGAUGUCAUCAAUAGUCGCAGGUCAUCUACAUAACACAGCGUCAUGCGGAUUCAAAAACCUGUUUCGGAUACCCCCAUCCCUCCAAAUGCCCCUGCAGUCGGAGGGAGGUCGCAGGUUUUCUGCAGAAUCGGGUCCACUCUUUGGCAAAGUCUCGAUCCUCCUGGGUUGAUAAAAGGAAAACCCACCAAUACAAACUGAAAAAUGAUUAAAUAAAUGAGACAUUUCAUAAUACUCUAAAAUAAAUUCUCAAAAAUUCUCUUUUUUUUAUUGACAAUAAGUUUUUCUUGUACUUUGGCCUUUCUUUUUUAUUCAUUCUCAUUAUUGUACAAAUAGUGUUUGUAUUGAUAAUUGCAUUUCAGUAUUAAUCUGUAACAUUUUAUUCAACUUUACACAUUUUCAAAUCUGGAUAUUUCUGUGUAUUUCUCAACAAGGAAA